UGGAAACUCCGACGUCAACGCCUUUCUCAGCCGUUCUUCCUAUUUCGCUUCCCUGUGUGGCCGUUACCGUCGCCACCGGCCAAUGCUCAUUCCUACUGCCCUCAACGCCCUCAAAUCCUCAAGGUCAAUAUCUUGGUCGCCGACGGGUAGGUUCCAGCAAACCUUGGCGGGAUGCCUGGAGCUGAGUGGGAUAUCUCUGCAUUCAGGGAAGGUUUCGAAAGUGAAGUUAUGUCCGGAAUUUGCAGGCAGAGGGAGGUAUUUUGAUUUCAAGUCCAACUUCAUUCCUGCCUCGAUCGAUUAUGCCGAAGAGUCGUCUCUUUGUACGACGCUCUCUAAGGAUGGGUUUAAAAUUCGUACGGUUGAGCAUUUGCUUUCUGCCCUGGAGGCCAUGGGGGUUGACAAUUGUAGGAUUGAGAUAGCGAAUGAAGACGCUAAAGACAGUGAAGUCGAGGUUCCAAUUUUUGAUGGAUCUGCGUGUAAAUGGGUGGAUGCAAUAGAGGAGGUUGGUCUUAAGUUGGCUAUAGACCAGCGUGGCAACUGCUGUGAAAAAAUGGCACCAUAUGUAAAUCAACCUGUCUAUGCGUGGAGGAAUGACUGUUAUCUUGUUGCUUUUCCAGCCAAAGCAGUUCGUAUUACUUAUGGAAUUGACUUUCCUCAGGUGCCUGGCAUUGGCUGCCAAUGGUUUUCUACUGCUCCUUUGGACAAUAUGUUCUAUGCCGAGCAAAUAGCUCCAUCAAGAACCUUUUGCAUUUACGAGGAGGUAGAGCAAAUGCGUAAUAUGGGGCUCAUAAGAGGAGGCUCAAUAGAAAAUGCUUUAGUUUGCAGUGUCAGUAAAGGUUGGAUCAAUCCCCCAUUGCGUUUCCAUGAUGAACCUUGUCGCCACAAGGUUUUAGAUUUCAUUGGUGAUAUAUCACUUUUUGCACGGUUAGGCAGUCAAGGGCUUCCGGUGGCACACCUAGUGGUUUACAAGGUAAGUUCUUUGUGAUUUACCUCUCUAGUGUGUGGUUAUUACAUAUAGGAUUACACUACCAAUCAGAUAAUAAGAAUUCUUGGAGCACAAUCUGAACUUGUUUUGUUUUUUUAUUACGUGGAUACCUUUUAUUUAUUCCUCAAGCAUGUUGUUGCCUGCAUUAUAAGAGCCAGGUAUCUUUUGAUGAUUAUUAACAAUUGAAAGACUCUUCUAGAUUAGCUCUUCUGGAGGGGGUAAUCUCAACCCUCCCUUGUCGUCAGAUUGUUUUUGGUUUCUCUUGAUGGACAUACACAUCUCUGUUUCUUACAAAUAUGUGUGUGUUUGUGUAAGGGAAAGGUAUAUUCUCAGUCUCCUUGCUCUAUUAUGUCUUUCUUUGUCCAUUGCCCUUUCUGUAUAUAUUUGUAUAUAUUGAUGACGAACCCUAGUAUUUAGUUUCUCUUGGCGCAUCACAUGAUAGGAAUUUAUGAAUUUGGCGAUCAAAUAUAUUCUAAUUUCUUUAUUUCUCUAAUAAGUUCUUGCCUUGUUGUGAUUUGUUAAUGUCAUGCCCUCAAUUAACAGACUUCCAUUUUGCUACUAUGCCAUUUCACUUUGUUUCCAGAAGCUGCAUCAAAUCUAAAAAGUGCAUUAUUUGAGGGGUGCCAUGACUUUCUCAUUUGAACCUUUAGUUCCCAUAGCAAAUCCUUGUCUUAGUUAUUCGAAUGUUGUUUUUGUGACUGGUGGACAUAUAGACGGAGGUUAUGUAAAUGUGAGCAUUGCUUUUUUGAAGUACUUGAAUUUUUCUGCUGAAAGUUUGAGAGGGAUUUGGUGGUGUUCUUUGUUAGGGAUAACUGUUAAAACGAUUGUAUUUGAGCAGCAGAUUGUGUAGAGGGUUGAGAGUUUUAAUUGAUGUGUCAUUUGGGGAAAUAUUAUGGGCACUAUAAAAGGUUGGAUCAAAUUGGAAAUACCAGUUCAAGAAAAUGUGUCCAAAUUUCUGGCAUAAUCGACUAGGGGGUGCAAAUUGGUCGGCUGACAUUGUUUUGGGCUCAAACCAACACUCAUCCCUGACGUGUCAAUUUUGGUCAAUUGGAGUCCUGAAACUUUCUAACCUUUGUACAAAUUGACCAUUCUCGGUCAGUUGGUUUUGAUCGGAUUUUGGUGGAUGCUAGAGAAAGAGUAGAUUAUCAUAGUUGUGUGGCUAAAAAUGUUGAGAUGCAGUUAUAGGAGAGAGUCUAAACCAAAGAACAUAUUAUUUGUCUUCUUUCUUGUCAUUAGGAAGUUUUUAAUCUUCAUUUUGCUCAAGAAAAAAGAACAGUGGAGCAUUGUGUUAAUUCUAAAGGUUUUUUUCCCUUGGUUAAUCUUGCUACUCAAAGAUUCAUCCAAAGAAAGGUAGUUAUUUUACCAAUAAAGAGGGAAUGAACCUGAUGAGUUGACCAAUUCCUAUUUAGGUCGUCUUUUUACCAAGGGUGGUCAUUCUAUGCAUGCCAAUUUUGUUCGCCGCCUAUCGGAAAACAUUUGAGUAGACAAGUAGCUGUCUUUGCUUGCAGAAGUGUAAAAAUAUUCUGCAAUUGAGGUAAUUAAGUCUUUGAAAUUUCUCCUCCGGUUGCUUGGCAGAUGAAACAUUCUGCUGUAAUUUGGGAAAAUAGUUGUGUAAAAUCUAUAAGAACGAUCAACGGGUAGGAUUCGUCACAAUUGCAGUAAUUUCAUAUACUAGAUCGUAUGUUGGAGGAAGUUUUUGUAUUCUUUUAAGCCACAAAUCCGAAUGAGGUGAAAAUUGAUUUAGGUUUUCAUCUUAAUGUUGUUUUCUAGUAAAUCCUUAACAGGAUAAAUGAAUAACUACUUGGCUUUUAUCUUCCAGUAUAAAAUUUGCCUAAAUGGAAAGAAUAGAUAGAAAAAAAUUGGAUCAGAUCAUACGUCUGUAUGGUGUAAAUUACUCACCCUGCUGAUGGUUCAAUCUGUGUUCUUUGCUCUUUGUUGGUCGUAAUUAUCUAAUGUGGUAUUCAUACUCGUUCUUCGUUUACAGUCGUUAAAUGUAGAGGUUGCAGUAUCUCAGAUCUUGCUGAUAUGCUUGAUUCAGGAACUCUCUGAAGGAGUCCACAACUUUCUUAAUUUAUUCUUAACUCGAUUGUGUGCUCAUCGAGGAGGAUGAUAUCGCCAUGUGAAGAAAGGUACACUUCAAUAAUUGUUUUUUUUUAAUGAUAAUGUUAUUGAUCAUUUAUUAGACUGAGUCAAUACAAAUGGUCGGGAAAUAACAUGGUUAAAUUUUUACGGCUUGGGCUCUUUUAGGUGAUAGAUUCUAAACUUCCCUCCAGGUUAUUAGUGUAGAUGCAAAUUGUACCUCUGUAUUGUAGGUUGUCUCUGAGAAGGAUUCAUGGUCCUCUAUAUUGAAUUUGAACAUCCACUCUGGGAGUUUUCUUGAACUCUGUUAAUCAUGGCCAUACGGAUUAAAAUCGACUAGUGAUGUUAAAUAUUCUUCAACUUC